UGGGGGAUCGUCUAGUGGUAGGACAGCGGACUCUGACUCCGUUAACCUAGGUUCGAAUCCUAGUUCCCCAG
rnacentral:tRNA from 1 species